UACGUAGGGUGCAAGCGUUAAUCGGAAUUACUGGGCGUAAAGCGUGCGCAGGCGGUUAUGUAAGACAGAUGUGAAAUCCCCGGGCUCAACCUGGGAACUGCAUUUGUGACUGUAGAGCUGGAGUACGGCAGAGGGGAUGGAAUUCCGCGUGUAGCAGUGAAAUGCGUAGAUAUGCGGAGGAACACCAAUGGCGAAGGCAAUCCCCUGGGCCUGUACUGACGCUCAUGCACGAAAGCGUGGGGAGCAAACAGG
rnacentral:rRNA from 1 species